AUACGGAGGGGGCUAGCGUUGUUCGGAAUUACUGGGCGUAAAGCGCGCGUAGGCGGCGCAUUUAGUCGGGCGUGAAAGCCCGGGGCUCAACCCCGGAAUUGCGCUCGAUACUGAUGUGCUGGAGGACGGGAGAGGAGAGUGGAAUUCCCAGUGUAGAGGUGAAAUUCGUAGAUAUUGGGAAGAACACCGGUGGCGAAGGCGGCUCUCUGGCCCGAUCCUGACGCUGAGGUGCGAAAGCGUGGGGAGCAAACAGGAUUAGAAACCCCAGUAGUCC
rnacentral:rRNA from 1 species